CCCCCCCCCCAUAAGAGGUCCAGCCUGCCCAGUGACCCAGUUCAACGGCCGCGGUAGCCUAACCGUGCGAAGGUAGCGUAAUCACUUGUCUUCUAAAUAAAGACUAGUAUGAAAGGCAUCACGAGAAUUCAACUGUCUCCUUUUUUCAAUCAGUGAACCUAAUCUCCCUGUGAAAAAGCAGGAAUUUACAAAUUAGACGAGAAGACCCUAUGAAGCUUUAAACACUAGUCAACUGCUAGCAUUACUAUACCCCGGCCCCAAAUUUAUGCACCAUGAUCACAUGUUUUUGGUUGGGGUGACCGCGGAAAAUAACCUAACCUCCACAAUGAAAACCCUCAAGCCACAACUUUAAGUAUCAACAAAUUGACA
rnacentral:rRNA from 1 species